AUUGAACGCUGGCGGCAUGCUUUACACAUGCAAGUCGAACGGCAGCGCGGGCUUCGGCCUGGCGGCGAGUGGCGAACGGGUGAGUAAUAUAUCGGAACGUACCCAGGAGUGGGGGAUAACGUAGCGAAAGUUACGCUAAUACCGCAUACGUCCUAAGGGAGAAAGUGGGGGAUCGCAAGACCUCAUGCUCAUGGAGCGGCCGAUAUCUGAUUAGCUAGUUGGUGGGGUAAAGGCUCACCAAGGCAACGAUCAGUAGCUGGUCUGAGAGGAUGACCAGCCAAACUGGAACUGAGACACGGUCCAGACUCCUACGGGAGGCAGCAGUGGGGAAUUUUGGACAAUGGGGGCAACCCUGAUCCAGCAAUGCCGCGUGAGUGAAGAAGGCCUCCGGGUUGUAAAGCUCUUUUGUCUGGGAAGAAACGACUCCUUCUAAUACAGGGGGUUAAUGACGGUACCUGAAGAAUAAGCACCGGCUAACUACGUGCCAGCCGCCGCCGUAA
rnacentral:rRNA from 1 species